CCAGUCCUCUUCUGGCUGCAUGUAAUCGUUGGUUUGCUGAGAAUCAUAAUGGUCCAUGAUGGUGCGCGCGUGCUAGGGUCUGGAUUUCUUCCUCCACCUUCUCUCUGAGCAACGGCUGCUGCCCUGGCGUGGGGAGGGAGUAGGGCUGGGCUGGGCUGGGCUGGCGGGGCCGGGCUCGCUCCCCUGCGCCCGGUUCCGCCGCGGCGCUGCUGGCGAAGGCUGCUACUGGCGGCGACAGCGGCGGCUGGGCUCGCGGACUGCCUGCCUCUGGGCGGGCGCUUGGACCUAAUCUCCACGCACACUGAACUAGGCGGACACACUAGCGCUGCGGGAGCCGAGGCGGGCGGGGGCGGGGGGAAGGGGCAGAGCCCUCCCGAGGCUCUCCAUUGGCCAGGCCGAGUUGCCCAAACUUCCCCCCAUCGCCUCUCAUUGGGAAUUCCUGGCAUCCGUCAGCCGGGCUGCGGCGCAUAUAGGUGGACUGGGCGGCCCCCUCCCGGCGCGCACACCCCCGCCCACUCCCGCGGUGCCCGUUCCCCCGCGGCUCAUGUGACGCCAGCUUAAGCUGAACGGGACCGAAGCCGGGAGACGCCUCCCCGAGCUCGGGGACUGAGUGGCAGCGCGCUUGGGAACCCCAGGAGCCGCCGGGAUUGGACCCGUUCCCCGCCACCGUUAUUGCGCUCCCACGCGCGCUCCAAACCCCGGGGUGGGAGGGGGCUGGAGAAAGGACGCGAGGAAACCCGAAGAACAUUCAUUUUCUCUUUCCCAGGGAACCUGGGUCUGGGCAGGAACCCGGUUUCUCGCCAGCGAACUGCUCUCAGAGGCUACCGAGCGUUCCCGCCUCGCCGCAGGAACUCUUCUAGCUCGCCCUCGGGCUCUGGGGACCGCUCCACAGCGGGGCCUCCCGGAAUUCCCUGCCGGUCUCCGCGGGCACACUUGGCUGGCUGCUGCGACCAAAACUACCUUCGCGUGGCAGGGUCCUCCCUCCUCCUCACAGACACCCCGACAUCACCCUCAAAACUGGAAGGGACAACCCCGAGUGAUCUAGGCGAUGGUGGAUACCUGAAAGCCACCCAUGGAAAAGGUGAAGAAAGUGCCCCCUGGUUCUCAGAAGAGCCACUGCUGCUGUUGUGAGCAGAUAUCGGAUGGUGUCUCUGGCUGCAUCAUUCGUCAACCACACAUAUUCAUAUGAGUGUUACCCUCCAGCACUGUGCCUUCCAAAAGCCCCUGGCUGAGGAAGCACUGCUUCUGAGCCACAGAGACAGCUGAUUUAUGGACCAUUUUAUCACCGCUUCUAAACUGUGGCUCUAAACCUAACACAGAGGGUAAUGGUAGUGCUGUAUCCAUUCAUUCACCCAAUAAAUAUUUGCUGAGCACCAUCUGCAUAUCAGGGAAUGUACUAGAUGUAUACAGAGAUGAAAAAGCCAUAGUCCCUGUCGCACACAGCCCAGCAGACAGACACAGAAACAAAAAUAUGAUGUCAUGAGUUAGACGCAAGGAGAGAGAUCUGACAAGUGUACUGUUGGAACAGAUGAGGGGCACUGAACCCCGUGGGAAAGGAGGCUCCAGGCUUAACUUUUUGGAGGAGGUGAAACUUAAGUGAACGUUAAAGAAUGAGAGUCAGCCAGAUAAAGAGUGUGGGAAGUUACUCCAGAAGGAAGGACCAGCACAAGCUAAUGCACAAGGACAGGAAACUGCAUGGUAUACAAAGGAAUGUCUAGCAUCUCAACGUGGCUGGACUAGAAAUCCAAGGCCGGGAGGGGCAAGAGACGGGGCUAGAGAGGUGCAAAGCAGCCAGACCAUGAAGGCCUCAUGUGCCAGGUGGAGUGUGGAUCUAAGGGGAGCAAGGCUGGCUGGAAGCUUUGACACCAGUUGCAAAGCUGUUGCAAUAAUCCAGGUCGAAAUGGAAAAGUGUGGAUAGACCAGAAAUACUUAGGGGAUAAAACUGAAAGACCUAGGAGUCUGGAGAAAAGAUAAGUGUUUUUGUUGAGAGAUCCCAUGCACUUUACCUAUAUUAAGUUCCUCCUAUGAGGUGUUUCUCUGUCUUACAGAGAAAACAAACUGAGGCUCAGAGAGGUAGUAACUAGUCCAAAAUGGCACCAGUACAUGUGACUCCCAGACCUGUGCCUUUAACCCCAGUGGUUCUCAACUCUAGGAUAUUUUAACAGCUCCCCCUCACAAGGGAUAUUUGUUGAUGUCUGGAGUCAUUUUGGGUUAUCACAGCUGGUGGGUUCCUACUGGCAUCCAGUGGAUGCAGGUUGGGAAUGCUGCUAAACGUUCUACAAUGGAUAGGACAGCAUCCCCACAACAAAGAAUUAUCCAGGCCAGGCAUGAUGGCUCAUGCCUGUAAUCCCAACACUUUGGGAAGCUGAGGCAGGUGGAUCGCUUGAGGUCAGGGGUUCGAGACCAGCCUGGGCAAGGUGGCGAAAACCCGUCUUUACCAAAAAUACAAAAAUUAGCUGGCCAUGGUGGUGUGAAUCUGUAUUCUCAGCUACUUGGGGGGCUGAGGCAGGAGGAUUGCUUGAGCCCAGGAGGUCAGGGCUGCAGUGAGCCAUGAUUGCACCAUUGCAUUCCAGCCUGGGUGACAGAGCAACACUCUGUCCAGAAAAAAAAAAAAGAAAGAAAGAAAGAAUUAACCAGCCAAAUAUGAAAGAAAGAAAGAAUUAACCAGCCCAAAAUAUCAAGAGUGCUGAGGUUGAGCAAUCCUGCUUUAAUCAUGAGUUUAUAGUUUAGAUGAUCUGGGGAAUGGUGGCACUAUGACCAAUUAAGAUAGAACAGAAAAGGAAAAUAUUUAGGAACAGAAUCAUGGAUUGAGUUUGAACACAUUGAAUUUGGAGUGCUCUUAGAAUGUCCAGAUUCCAUAGACCAGCAGGCAGUUUGACUGCAUAGCCCUGACCUCAGGCAAAACAGAGUUGAGAGUCAUCUGCAUAUGGAUGAUAUUAACACCAGGAGACCACCCAUGAAGAAUGCCCAGGUGGACAUGAGAAGAGGGCAGAACCCUGGAGAACAACACUUAGAAAGGGACAGCAAAGAACAAGAACCCCUGAAGGAGACAAAGAAAAUGGUCAUCCAGGAACGAGGAGGGCCUGGAGUAUAUGACGUUGAGGAGGUCAAAGGAGUAAGGUUUCAAAGUAAGAGGAAUUGGCAAUAUCAGAUAUAUUCAAAAAGUCUGGAAAAUAAGGCCUAAACAGUGUUCUUGGAUAUGACAGUUGAAAAUUCACUGGUGACCUUGGCCAAUGGAAUUUUGGCAGAGUGGCAAAAGCUGUAAGUUUAAAGAGACAUUAGGAGUGAAUAAAUGGAGACUGAAUAUAGAGGGGAAAAAGAAGUAGCUAAAGGGGCAAUAGCUAGACGCAAGUACUGAGAUCAAAGGAAGAUUUCUUUUAAAACUGGAAAAUGUGAGCUGUUUGAAAAGAAGAAUUCAGUUAAGAGGAAAAAGUUGAAAAUGUAAGCUAAAGAAAGUUAAGGGAGCCAGGUGGAGUGGCUCACGCCUGUAAUCCCAGAACUUUGGACGGCCAAGGCAGGUGGAUCGCUUGAACUCAGGAGUUCGAAACCAGCCUGGGUGACAUGGUAAAAACCUAUCUCUACCAAAAAUACUAAAAAUUAGCCGGGCGUGGUGGAGUGCACCUGUGGUCCCAGCUACUUGGAAGACUGAGGUGGGAAGAUUGCUAGAGCCUGGGAAGUCUAGGCUGCAAUGAGCCACGAUUGGGCCACUGCACUCCAGCCUGGGUGACAGAGCCAGACACUGUCUAGAAAAAAAAAAGGAAAGUUGAGGGAUAGCACAAAGUUCUUGAGGAGAUAGGACCAUAUGGGUUCAAGGACACAGGCUAAGGGAUGGGCCAUUGAACAAGAAGAAAGACCCUCAUCUGGCUGGGUGAGGUGGCUCAUGCCUGUAAUCCCAGCAUUUUGGACGGCCAAGGCAAGCGGAUCACUUGAGCCCAGGAGUUCAAAACCAGCCUGGCCAACAUGGUGAAACCCCAUCUCUACUAAAAAUACAAAAAUUAGCCAGAUAUGGUGGUUUACACCUGUUGUCUCAGCUACUUGGGAGGUUGAGGUGGCAGAUCGCUUGAGCCCAGGAGGCAGAGGUUGCAGUGAGCUGAGAUCGUACCACUGCACCCCAGCCUGGGUGACAGAGCGAGACUCGGUCUCAAAAAAAAAAGAAAAGAAAAAAAAAAAAAGAAAAGAAAGACCCUCAUCUGAGCCUGAGGAAAGAAAAGGGGGAGUUAUGAUGCGUGAGGAUGCCCACAGUGUGUGGGAAGACGGUAAGGAAGUAAGUUGAAACAAUAACUGAUGAACUUAUCUUCUCAAUAAGGGAGGUCCUGAGAUGGACCAAGGUAACAGACUGACCCAUCUUCUCACUCAUGGCCACCACCCUGUGAAAUGAUACUGGGGACUUUAGUCUCAGUAUAAGACAACCUUUACUAAAUACAAAAAAUUAGCCAAGCAUGGUGGCGCAUGCCUGUAAUCCCAGCUACUCGGGAGGCUGAAGCAGGAAAAUCACUUGAACCCAGGAGGUGGAGGUUGUGGUGAGCUGAGAUCACACCAUUGCACUCCAGCCUGGGCAACAAGAGUGAAACUCCAUCUCAAAAAAAAAAAAAAAAAGAACUGGAUUGACACAUGAGGUGACAUAAAGAAGGGAGAGUGCCAGCCCCAUGCCUGGCAUGCAGCAGGCCACCUCAAUGCUCAUGAAUUUCUUUUCCACCCUGCUAUGGGUGACUGACCAUGUGAGGCCCUGUGGGGAGACAUAGACACGUAGGAUCUGCAAGAUUCUGGAAACUAAAAGCACUAUGGACCUCCCACCUAGAUAUCUGGCCAUUGCCUUCCUUGUAUCCUGAGUUCUUCUCUAACCUUACAGCCUAAUGGUGAUAGGCUCCUAUGAGCUCUUCCUAAGAGCCCAGGGCAUGGUAGUCAUUAGAGUGUUUGUAGAAUGCUAGAAGGAGGUAGGAAAUAAAUCACUAUAGUUUUUUGGGUUUUGGGCUUGGGAAAUCAGAAACCUCAGUUUUGUCCCCAGUCCCAGUAGCAAUAUAGUUAAUAGACUCCUCUUCCCCAAACGCCCAUAGCAUACCAUUUGUAACUAAGAGAGUAUACUUUGCUUUAUUUUAGUCCUUUGUCCAUUUUUUCUCUCACACUGCCUUUAUGAAGCCUCAACCCUGUUCUUUCCCCCACUCAGUGUAACACAGGGCCUAGGACACAAUAAGUGUUCCAGUUCAAUAUUCAUGAAAUGAAAAAUGGCAUUAGCCAAAUUCCAUCUCACUGCCUGUUUCUCCAUCAAUCCAUGGGAGGCUUGGGGAGGCCAGUCCUUUGCCAUGGUCCACACAAGCAUUUCCCAAAUUCUUGGGCCUCCUGAGAAGCUCAUGAAGCCCAUGGUGGUGAAAUUGAGUUGGCUGUCCCUACUCCGAUGCCCCAGCCAGCAGCACUCAGCCAUCACCCACCAGGAUGAAUUCCUCCACACCAGCUUCUGCUUCACUGGAACAGUUUGCCCUAGGGUCAAUUCCUCUCUCUCCCACCAGAGACCAGUGAGGCAGGGCAGGAGACACUCAGCAGUUUCCCUCGUGCGGGAUCUCUAAUAAGAGGCUGGCAGAAAAGUUCCUGUGCUUCCCAUCCUCUGCCCAGCUCUAGGGUCUCAGGUGAGAGAAUAUCUGGCCUGUCUGGUUCACUCUUUUUUUUUUUUUUUUUUUUGAUAGAGUUUCACUCUUGUUGCCCAUGCUGGAGUGCAAUGGCAUGAUCUCAGCUCACUGCAACCUCUGCCUCAAGCAAUUCUCCUGUCUCAGCCUCCCAAAUAGCUGGGAUUACAGGCAUGUGCCACCACACCAGCUAAUUUCUUUCUUUUUUUUUUUUUAAGUAGAGAUGGGGUUUCACCAUAUUGGUCAGGCUGGUCUCGAACUCCUGACUUCAGGUGAUACACCCUCCUCGGCCUCCCAAAGUGCUGGGAUUACAAGCACACACCACCGCGCCAGGCCAGGUACACUCUUUUCCCUAGUGAUCAGGCAUAUUUAUCUCCCCCAGAUACCCAGGGUAAACCAACCUGGACCAUCAGAAAUCUCUACCUUAGAUGGCUACCUUGAGGUCAGCUCUGGGAGCAGAGCUAGUCAGGCUUGAGAGCUGCCCAGCCUGGGCCCUCCAAGGAGGGCUGGGAGCUCUUCCCCAUCUGUCUCUUGUUCCCAGCAAAAAUCAGAGCAACACACCCAAAUCACAGCUGAGAAUGUGAAGACCUAAAUAAACGGAAAGCUGAUUUAUUAUGUUCACAGAUUGGAAGAAUCAGUAACCCCCAAUUUGAUGCCUAACCCUCCACCUCCCCCACAACACAGCAUUGGCCUUACCAAUUACAGCAGCCACUAGCUGAAAAGCCACUCUGUCCAGAUCAUUUCCAUGGAAAUGAUGGGAUAGCUUUCAGGGGCAGAUAUCCUUAUGUGAGAAGCAGGACAAGGCAAGGAGACCUGAGCUCGCUGGGCUUCAGUUUACUUAUCUGCAAAAUGACAGGGCUGGAUUCACCAGACAGUCUUUAAGCUCCUGGUAAUAAAGUUCUGAGCACUGUUCUAAGAAUGUCUUUCUGCAACUCCUCCUUUUUAUCUCCAGUGAGAGGAUGAUUUGAAUCUUCUGAAACAAUGUUUCUCUAUCUUGAAUACUAAGCAAGUUCCUUUUGAAAGGAUACAAAUCCUCACAAAGUUACUUAAUUUUUAUUUUAAUGUUCCUUAAAUGUGUAUGAACAUAAAACUAGGCACAACACUUCUUAACAUUUGGGGUUUACAAUCAACUACAAAAUGAAAACAAGCUUACAAAUUCUAUUUAAAAGAAACUAUAAAACCAGUAAGAUUCAAAUUAGCCACACUAAUUUAAAUGUAACUGUUGCUAUUUGCUGAAACAAAAUUGCUACUCCCAGCAUGAUUUAAUUCUGACUGUGAUCAAGCAGGUGGUUCUUUCUGCGUUGGGGAUGCCUAUAUCACCACGUGCCAGGCAAUGACUCAAUUCUCCUACCACUUUCUCUAUUUGAACUACUGCAUCAGGGCAUCAUUUAACCUUCACUUGAUUGGAACACACUGUAAUGAAUCAAGUUCCCUCUGCUGUUUUCUCAUUAGCACUGAACAAUUAAAGUUAAAAAAAAAUUUUUUUUUGAUCUUUGUACCAACAGGAUCCUUUGCUCAAAUUUCAAUGUCCUUAUCUAUAACACAGAGAGAAUCACCUCCAUCCCACCUACCUCACAGGAUGGCUGUGCACAUUCAUUCAUUCAGUCAACUAUUUUUUAUUGAGUAUCUACUAUGUGCCAGACACUGUUUUGCCACAGAUGAUGUAGCAGUGACCAGAAUGGAUACAAGUCCCUACCUCAUGGAACUUACAUUUCAACUGGGAGAGCCUGGUAAGAAAAUAAAGAAGUAAAAUAAUAUGAUAGUGUUAAGCUCUAAGGAAAGAAUGUAUAUAUAAAGCAGAGAAGGGGAAUUGAGAAUUUGGGGAGAGGUAGAGGGAGGUUACAUAUUUUAAAUGGGGUGUUCAGGGAAGGUUUGUUGAGUAGGUAACAUUGAAGACCUAAAGGGGUGAGAAAACAUGAGCAUUCCAGGAGCAGCCAAGAGGUCACAGUAGCUAGCAAGAAAUAAUGCACAUGAGACACACACUGAAAAGUACAAUGCAAAUGUGGGUCUAAUAGAUAACUGCUGUUUUGCUGCCCAGCAACCAUUUCCCCCUCCUGGCAACCAUACCUUGAUAUUCCUCUGGGAGGGCACUUCCCCUGCUCCAAUCCCUGGGCUUCAGGGAGAGUUGACCCCACCCCUAGUCAACAGGGCUGGGCAAAUGACAGGCCUAGCCAAUCAGAGCACACGAUUGGCUUAGGGCAUGGGACCCAGUCUGAAUGAAGGACACACAAUGAAACUUUUUUUUUUCCUUUGAGGCAGGGUCUCUGUCUUGUCUUUGAGGGUCUGUCACCCAAGCUGGAGUGCAGUGGUGCUAUUAUGGCUCACUGCAGCCUUGACUCCCUGGGCUCAAACAAUCCUACCACCUCAGCCUCCCGAGUAGCUGGGAUUACAGGCAUGCACCACCAUGCCCAGCUUAUUUAUUUAUUUAUUUAUUUGUUUGUUUGUUUAGAGACAGAGUCUCACUCCGACACCCAGGUUAGAGUGCAGUUGUGCCAUCUCAGCUCACUGCAACCUCCACCUCCUGAAUUCAAGCGAUUCUCCUGCCUCAGCCUCUGAGUAGCUGGGAUUACAGACAUGUACCAACAUGCCCAGCUAAUUUUUUGUGUGUUUUUAGUAGAGACAGGGUUUCACCAUGUUGGCCAGACUGGUCUCAAACUCUUUAUUAUUAUUAAUUUUUUUUUUUUUGAGACUUUUCUCCUCCAAGAUCCUCCCUCUCUUCAUGUAAGGUGAAGGGGUGGAAUUGCUACAGUCCUACCAAGCAAUGCUCAGUGAGAUCUGAGAUGACUCUAGACAGGAAAGGGCAGUCCAAACUCCUGUGGGGCCUAGUAACUGUUCAGGAGCCCAGAGCCCAGGGCCCCACUCCACCUGGCAUGCUGCAUGCUUGGUGACCAAGGCAGGCCUCUGCCCUGAACUGAGUGAGUGCCUACUCUCUGUGGCUGGUCCAGCCUCUCAGGGUGGAGAGUCCUGCACUCAAAAAGAUGCUGAGAUGAGCUUUUACACCAUGGGACUUACCCUGCACAUAUUCAAGUUAAAUUUCAGCUGCCAUCCUUGCCUGAGUCCCAGAGGAGAUCAGUUUCAUCUGGAGUUUCUCAUAGGCCGCCCCCCACACCUUGGCCUUGGCCAGCUGAAAAGUGUUUAGAUCAAUAGCAAGCCUCAUCAACUCUUUUCCACCCCCAACCCUUACUAAGUGCAUCAGACAACAGAAGCCCCAGGGCUGACCUUUGCAGCAUCCAUUGUCAUAGCAGUUAUUACAGACACAAAUAAUAGGUAGUAUAAUAAUCUGUGGUUAAAUGUCCUUUAACCAGAGGGCUCAGAGCACUCUGGGAACAUUACCUCAUGCCCCUCCUGACACUCCUGCCCACAUGCCUUUUCUUCAAGACCCUCAAGUCCCUCUUCCAGCCUCCUGCCUUCUGGAAAGCCCUCCUCCACAUUUCCUCUAACUCCAUCUCAGCACAGCUUAACAGCAUGGUUCCCAGGUCUUACCCAGGAGCUGCCCUGAGUGACAGCCUCAUGGAGGAAGUUGUUCAGGUCUCAAAGAUCUUCUUAUCUCCCACCAUGGCCUAUAAUCCUGAGCAUGUCCCAUCACUGACCUAUUUUCUAUAUGCUCAGAAGCAAGAAUUAUUAACAGUGGAUGUGUUGAAGUGUUUUCAACUACUAAAAAUGGGGGAAAUAAGAUAAAUAUAAUUUUGAAGCUGGUAAGGGGCUUGCUGCAGUUGUCGGUCCUCCCCAUUUCUGGUUGGCCACAGGUGCAAUUUGCAGACAUCAUCUGCAAAUAAAAGCUUUCUUACAAAAUUCUUUCCCUUAAGGUACAUGUAAACUUGGUUUGUUGGAUGCUGCUAUUCGUUUCUUUCUUGCUUUCUUUCUUCUGCUUCUUUCUUCCUUUCUUUCCUUCCUCCCUUUUUUCCAUCAUCUAAAAAUCAGAAUUCCUUUGAGCUGGAGCUGAAAAAAAAGAAUGAAUGAAUGAAUAAAUAAAUAAGAAAAAAGAAAGAAAAAUCAGAUUACAUUUGCU
rnacentral:lncRNA from 1 species